AUUGAACGCUGGCGGAAUGCUUUACACAUGCAAGUCGAACGGCAGCACGGACUCCGGUCUGGUGGCGAGUGGCGAACGGGUGAGUAAUACAUCGGAACGUGCCCAGUCGUGGGGGAUAACGUAGCGAAAGCUACGCUAAUACCGCAUGCGAUCUACGAAUGAAAGCGGGGGAUCGCAAGACCUCGCGCGAUUGGAGCGGCCGAUGGCAGAUUAGGUAGUUGGUAGGGUAAAGGCCUACCAAGCCGACGAUCUGUAGCUGGUCUGAGAGGACGACCAGCCACACUGGGACUGAGACACGGCCCAGACUCCUACGGGAGGCAGCAGUGGGGAAUUUUGGACAAUGGACGCAAGUCUGAUCCAGCCAUUCCGCGUGCAGGAUGAAGGCCCUCGGGUUGUAGACUGCUUUUGUACAGAACGAAAAGGCUCUGGUUAAUACCUGGAGCUCAUGACGGUACUGUAAGAAUAAGCACCGGCUAACUACGUGCCAGCAGCCGCAGUAA
rnacentral:rRNA from 1 species